rnacentral:rRNA from 1 species
UUUUUUAAUUGGAAACUGGUAUGAAGGGUAGAAACUAAUAGGAUUGUUUUAUUUCAUGAUUUUGAAUUUAAAUUAAAAGUAAAAAUGCUUUUAUUAAUCCUUGGGACGAGAAGACCCUAGAAGUUUGGAAUUUUUAAUAGUUUUUAAUUGGGGCAAUUAGUGAAGAUAGAAAUUUUUAUUUUUAUUUAAUAUAUUUAUAUAAAUUACUCUAGGGAUAACAGCGUUAUUUAGUUAACAAGUUCUUAUUAAUAACUAAGCUUGCGACCUCGAUGUUGAAUUAAUUUAUAGUUUUUGAUGGAGUAAUUAAAAAUUUAUAGUCUGUUCGACUAUUAGAAAAUUACGUGAUCUGAGUUCAGACCGGA